rnacentral:rRNA from 1 species
UACGGGGGAUGCAAGCGUUAUCCGGAAUCAUUGGGUGUAAAGCGCCUGUAGGUUGUUUGAUAAGUCUGUUGUUAAAGCCUAGGGCUUAACCCUAGAAAAGCGAUGGAAACUACCAGACUAGAGUAUGGAAGGGGUAGAGGGAAUUUCUAGUGUAGCGGUGAAAUGCGUAGAUACUAGAAAGAACACCAGAGGCGAAAGCGCUCUACUGGGCCAGUACUGACACUCAGAGGCGAAAGCUAGGGUAGCAAAAGGG